AGACAGAUUACAUCAAUGCCAGUUUCAUGGAUGGCUACAAGCAGAAGAAUGCUUACAUUGGUACACAAGGUCCUUUGGAGAACACCUAUCGUGACUUCUGGCUCAUGGUUUGGGAGCAAAAAGUUUUGGUGAUUGUCAUGACCACCCGCUUUGAGGAAGGCGGCAGGAGAAAAUGUGGCCAGUACUGGCCUUUAGAAAAAGACUCCCGGAUCCAAUUUGGCUUCCUCACGGUGACUAAUCUAGGAGUGGAGAACAUGAACCAUUAUAAGAAAACAACUCUAGAAAUUCACAACACAGAGAGCUGACUGUUUGGCACUGGACUAAUCGUUGUGUUCUUCCCUGCCGAGGACCACUUCUCUGGCUAAUUUUUUGACUUGUUUUUAAUAAUAAAACAAUAAUACAAU
rnacentral:lncRNA from 1 species